rnacentral:misc_RNA from 1 species
AGAUCGGCUGCCUAUAGGCUAUAUCCCGGUCAUGGUGGGUUUCGAUUUUUGUUUGUUACUUUCGCAUCGUUCGGUGCAUUCUGGGGGCUGUUUUGGCUUUUGGUUGCUUGCUCAAGACCGUUUGGUUGGGUGGGUGGCUACUAGUUUGGCGGCUUUCGGGAUUCGACCGGGGAGGUGCAUGAGUGGUGUUUGGUUUGUUACGUGUGGAUGGCUGUUUGCUUGCGCACCAACGUCCACGCUGCAUACCUCUUCAGUUUUGCGGCAAGACCCGGUUUGUCUUGAGCAUAUUGUGGGUUUCCUGUGUUGCAUACCUAACUGAUGGUAACGUGUGGGUUUUAUGAUUUUCCUUUUCGUCAUGCGUCGGUCAUGCGGCGUGGGAUGAACAAUUAAGUGGUCUUUGUGAUCCAUCGUGUUGUUGCGUUUGCAACAAUGAUGUGGUUUAUGAAGCAUC